UGGGGAAUAUUGGGCAAUGGGCGAAAGCCUUACCCAGCAACGCCGCGUGAGGGAAGAAGGUUUUCGGAUUGUAAACCUCUGUCCUGGGGGACGAAGGAAGUGACGGUACCCCGGGAGGAAGCCCCGGCUAACUACGUGCCAGCAGCCGCGGUAAUACGUAGGGGGCGAGCGUUGUCCGGAAUUAUUGGGCGUAAAGGGCGCGUAGACGGCCGAGUAAGUUAUAGGUGAAAGCCCAUCUUUCAAGGAUGGAAUUGCCUGUAAUACUGCCUGGCUUGAGUGCAGGAGAGGGAAGCGGAAUUCCUAGUGUAGCGGUGAAAUGCGUAGAUAUUAGGAGGAACACCAGUGGCGAAGGCGGCUUUCUGGACUGCAACUGACGUUGAGGCGCGAAAGCGUGGGGAGCAGACAGGAUUAGAUACC
rnacentral:rRNA from 1 species